UGAGGAAUAUUGGGCAAUGCCCGCAAGGGUGACCCAGCAACGCCGCGUGGAGGAUGAAUGUCGUAAGAUUGUAAACUCCUGUUAGAGGGGAAGAAUAGUACCGGUUGGACCGGUAUAUGACUGUACCCUCAGAGAAAGCCCCGGCUAACUACGUGCCAGCAGCCGCGGUAAUACGUAGGGGGCAAGCGUUGUCCGGAUUUACUGGGUGUAAAGGGCGCGCAGGCGGGAUAAAAAGUCAGUGGUGAAAUCCUACAGCUUAACUGUAGAACUGCCUUUGAUAUUUUUAUUCUUGAGUUCGGGAGAGAGAGACGGAAUUCCAGGUGUAGUGGUGAAAUACGUAGAUAUCUGGAAGAACACCAGUUGCGAAGGCGGUCUCUUGGUCCGACACUGACGCUGAGGCGCGAAAGCGUGGGGAGCAAACA
rnacentral:rRNA from 1 species